GGGCCGAUGGUCUAGUGGUAUGAUUCUCGCUUAGGGUAACACCCUGUGCUAAGUUGCGAGAGGUCCCGGGUUCAAUCCCCGGUUGGCCCC
rnacentral:tRNA from 1 species